ensembl:misc_RNA Metazoa_SRP Metazoan signal recognition particle RNA
GCCGGGCGCAGUGGCGCGUGCCUGUAGUCCCAGCUAUUCGGGAGGCUGUGGCUGGAGGAUCUCUUGAAUCCAGGAGUUCUGGGCUGUGGUGCGCUAUGCCGGUCCGGUGUCCGCACUAAGUUUGGCAUCAAUAUGGUGACCUCCCGGGAGCAGGGGACCACCACGUUGCCUAAGGAGGAGUGAACCAGCUCAGGUCGGAAACGGAGCAGGUCAAAACUCCCGUGCUGAUCAGCAGCGGGAUCGCGCCUGUGAAUAGCCACUGCACUCCAACCUGGGCAACAUAGCGAGACCCCGUCUCUU